rnacentral:rRNA from 1 species
UACGUAGGGAGCGAGCGUUGUUCGGAAUUACUGGGCGUAAAGGGAGCGUAGGCGGGUUUGUAAGUUAGGAGUCUAAACCCAGGGCUUAACCCUGGGCCGGCUUUUAAUACUGCAAGUCUUGAGUAUGGGAGAGGAUGAUGGAAUUCCAGGUGUAGCGGUGGAAUGCGUAGAUAUCUGGAAGAACACCAGUAGCGAAGGCGGUCAUCUGGCCCAAUACUGACGCUGAUGCUCGAAAGCUGGGGGAGCAAACAGGAUUAGAUACCCUGGUAGUCCCAGCCGUAAACGAUGAACACUAGUUGCCGGGGGAGUCAAUCCUUUCGGUGACGAAGCUAACGCAUUAAGUGUUCCGCCUGGGGAGUACGCCCGCAAGGGUGAA